rnacentral:rRNA from 1 species
GAUGAACGCUGGCGGAGUGCCUAACACAUGCAAGUCGAGCGGCAGCGCGAGUAGUUUACUACUUGGCGGCGAGCGGCGGACGGCUGAGUAACGCGUGGGAACAUGCCCCAAAGUGAGGAAUAACUGCCCGAAAGGGUAGCUAAUGCCGCAUACGAUCUUCGGAUUAAAGGAUUUAUCCGCUUUGGGAGUGGCCUGCGUACGAUUAGAUAGUUGGUGAGGUAAUGGCUCACCAAGUCUACGAUCGUUAACUGGUUUGAGAGGAUGAUCAGUCAGACUGGAACUGAGACACGGUCCAGACUCCUACGGGAGGCAGCAGUGAGGAAUCUUCCACAAUGGACGAAAGUCUGAUGGAGCAACUCCGCGUGCAGGAUGAAGGCCUUCGGU